GGAAGAUUAACCCUAAUUGGUAAGGGAGCAUCUUGCUAAGUUGCCAGUAGCUGUGGAAACACGGUGUAUCGGUUCAAGUCCGAUAUCUUCCU
rnacentral:tRNA from 1 species